GCGGGCGGAUCGUGGUGGCUGCGCUUGCGAGGACCCUGAGGUAGAUUGGGUGGUUUCAACAGGAACGCAUCCACUGUCUGAGAGUUUAAACUUGAUUUUGUGAGGGGACGAACAGCGUGACAAUUAAAAGAAGAUCUGGGAAUCAAAAGCUUCCUGAGGCCUUCACCAGAAGCAGAUGCUGGUGCCGUGCUUCUACAGCCUGCAGAACUGAAGGACUUUACAGCUUCUCUUUCGCAUAUCCAAAUUGCCAGCAUCACCGCUCUUGCACUCCAAGCCAUUAUUAAGUAAAGUAAAGAACACAAACACUGUGAUACUGCUACACUUGAUCUGAUAACCAAGAAGUCUACUAAGUGACUAACAGAGAAGACAUGGAGAAGAGGAGGGAGUAGUUGUGACCGUGGAGGCAGAGAAUGGAGUAAUGUGAUCAUAAAUCAAGGAAUGCUGACAGCCACUAAAGCUGGAGAAGGCCAAGGACAGAUAUUCAAUCCUCCCGUAGAAGUACAGCCCUGCUAAUGCAUUGAUUUUGGACUUCUGGCCUCAGAACUAUUUAUAUAUCAGCUUUUUAUCAGUUGAAAUAAACCACCCUGGGCCGGGUGCAGUGGCUCACACCUGUAAUCCCAGCACUUUGGGAGGCCGAGGCAGGUAGAUCAUUUGAGGUCAGGAGUUCAAGGCCAGCCUGACCAACAUGGUGAAACCGCAUCUCUACUAAAAAAUACAAAAAUUAGCCCGGUGUUGUGGCAGGCGCUUGCAAUCCCAGCUACUCAGGAGGCUGAGGCACAAGAAUUCCUUGAACCUGGGAGGUGGAGGUUGCAGUGAGUCGAAACCAAGCCACUGCCCUCCAGUCUGGGCAACAGAUUGAGAGUCUGUCUCGAAAAAAAUAAAUACAUAAAAUAAAUAAGCCACACUGUACUUGUGAAGAUUAACUGAGAUGUUUAAAACAUUAUUUGCAAAAAUGCAAGACAUGAUGUAAGUGUAAAGCAUUAUUAUAUAUCAACAUAAUUGACCAUUAGAAAAAUGCAAAUUAACACCUCAAUGAGAUAUAUCACCAGACACCUGUUAGAAUGGUUAAAAUAAAAAGUACUGAUGAUAUUAAGUGCUGAUAAAAUGCAGAGUAACUCGAUCUCUCAUACAUUGCUGAUGCUAAUGUAAAAUGAUAUCACCACUCUAGAAAACAGUUUGGCAGUUUCUUAUAAAGUUAAACAUGCACUUACUAUACAACCCAGUAAUACACCUACUGGAUAUUCAUUCUAGGGAGAUCAAAAUUUACACCCAAAAACAUGUACAUAAAUGUUCAUAUCAGCUUUAUUUACAAUAGCCCAAAAGGAAACAAUCAGAUGUCCUCCAAUUGAUAACUGGUAUAACCCUAUCACAGAAUCCUACUGAGCAAUAAAAAGGAAAGCACUGUUGAUACAUACAACAACUUGAGUGCAUUUCAAGGCUGUUAUGCUGACUGAAAUAAAAGCUAAUCUCAAAAGGUUAUGUAUUAUGUGAUUCUGUUUAUAUAACAUUCUCAAAUUGCAAAAUCACAGCAAUGAAGAACUGAUCAGUAGUGCCAGGGGUUAGGGUUGUGGGGAGGGUGUGAUGAUGAAUGGGCAGCGUAAGAGAAUUUCUUUGGAGUGAUGGAAUAGUUUUAUAUCUUGAUUAUAGUGAUCAUUAUAUUAAACAAUUGCAUGUGAUAAAAUUCUAUAGGACUGUAUGCCAAAAAUAACUUAAUAUGUUUAUUUUUAAGGUCUGGAAAGCAUGGAAAUUUGUAUCUUCAUUCACUUUUGUUUUCAUGGACUCUUUUCAUGUUUGAACUUUUCAUGGUAUGAGCUGUUUUAUAAUCUAUAAUAUGGAAUGUUUCUCAUACGAAUGUUUUUCUUAUUGAAGAAUGCCAUAGAAAUAAGGGUGUGAGGUAUACUUACUUGACAGGAGAAUUUUACUCCUUUUAUUUUAUUUACUUAUUUAUUUUUAAGACGGAGUCCUGCUGUGUUGUCCAGGCUGGUCUUGAACCCCUGGACUCAAACGAUCUUUCUCCUUGGCCUCCCAAAGUUCUGGGAUUACAGGUAUGAGCUACAGUGCCCUGAGAGUCCUUUUUAAAGUAGUGAAUGCUCAAACAUGGAAUUAAAUUUAGGCAAAGCUCACUUUUAUUUAUACAUAAAACAACUUCAGCCAUGUACCUCAUAACGAUAUUUUGGCCAAUGUCUGACCUUAUAUACAAUGGUUGUCCUGUACGAUUAUAAUGAAGCUGAAAAUUUUCUAUUGCCUAGUAACAUUGUAGUAAUUGUAAUGUAGCACAACCUAUCACACGUGUUUGUAGUGAUGCUGGUGUAAACAAACCGACUGCAUUGCCAGUCUAGUAUAAAAGUCUAGCACACACAAUUAUCCACAGUAUAUAAUAGUUGAUAAUGAU
rnacentral:lncRNA from 1 species